UUUUUGAGAAAAUAAUAGAGAGGAGGUCAAACAAGGGAAUAGAGGAGGUCAGAGUUCACUGGAAGUCUUGUUCAGCUUGUGGCAAAGAAUGGGAGGACACCUGGGAGCCUGCUGUUAAUUUUUCUAUCUAGCUGUUACUCUAGUUAUUGUUUAAAGAAAUCUGUUUUUAUUGACUUGUUUAUAUGUAAUUGGAAAAGAUCUUGUGCACUAUAAAUUAUGUCUUGUUUGCUUCAUACUCUUUGUUCUGUGUCUAACUUCGUCCCUUUUUGUUGUAUUUUAUCAUUUUUGUGUUACUUUUCAUAAAUUCCUAUUCUUAUUUAUUUCUUAAUCUGUAUGUAUUAUUUUUGCUUUAUUAUGUAGAUAUUAAUUUAUGUAUGUUGGGGGGUUAAUAAAAACAUUUUUAAGAAAAAACUUUUUUUCAUUACCCUUGCUGGACAUUGGAAAAUAUAAAUAUGUUUUAAUGUCGGAAUGUUGAGAUAAGGCUGAGUGUUAUAAGGACAUAUUGUGCUCAUUUUCAGGCUCAGACUUUUGGUUUCUGUUAGAACGUGUGGAAAGCUUUAGACGAUACCCACCCAGACAACCUGUUCAUACCAGCUGGAAGAGAUACAGACGUACGUAUCAGCUGUCGACCCAGCAGACUUCAGAACAGCUUCUUUCCUCUGGCUUUAAAACUCCUUAAAUCAUCCUCCACCCUCCACAUAUGAUAGCGUUUUUUUGUUUUCUUGUGUAGCAA